GAUGAACGCUGGCGGCGUGCCUAAUACAUGCAAGUCGAGCGAACGGACGAGAAUCUUGCUUCUCUGAUGUUAGCGGCGGACGGGUGAGUAACACGUGGAUAACCUACCUAUAAGACUGGGAUAACUUCGGGAAACCGGAGCUAAUACCGGAUAAUAUUUUGAACCGCAUUGUUCAAAAGUGAAAGACGGUCUUGCUGUCACUUAUAGAUGGAUCCGCGCUGCAUUAGCUAGUUGGUAAGGUAACGGCUUACCAAGGCAACGAUGCAUAGCCGACCUGAGAGGGUGAUCGGCCACACUGGAACGGAGACACGGUCCAGACUCCUACGGGAGGCAGCAGUAGGGAAUCUUCCGCAAUGGGCGAAAGCCUGACGGAGCAACGCCGCGUGAGUGAUGAAGGUCUUCGGAUCGUAAAACUCUGUUAUUAGGGAAGAACAUAUGUGUAAGUAACUGUGCACAUCUUGACGGUACCUAAUAAGAAAGCCACGGCUAACUACGUG
rnacentral:rRNA from 1 species